rnacentral:rRNA from 1 species
CGCUGGCGGCGUGCCUAACACAUGCAAGUCGAACGGAGUCCAGCCUUUAAGACCUUCGGGUCAAAGAGGGGAAGACUGAGUGGCGGACGGGUGAGUAACACGUGGGCAACCUGGCUCAUAGAGGGGGAUAACAGAGAGAAAUUUCUGCUAAUACCGCAUAAGCACACACUGCCGCAUGGCAGAGGGGGAAAAGAGAAUCGCUAUGAGAUGGACCCGCGUCUGAUUAGCCAGUUGGCAGGGUAAGAGCCUACCAAAGCGACGAUCAGUAGCCGAUCUGAGAGGAUGAACGGCCACAUUGGGACUGAGACACGGCCCAAACUCCUACGGGAGGCAGCAGUGGGGGAUAUUGCACAAUGGGGGGAACCCUGAUGCAGCGACGCCGCGUGAGUGAAGAAGUAUUUCGGUAUGUAAAGCUCUAUCAGCAGGGAAGAUAAUGACAGUACCUGAAUAAGAAGCCCCGGCUAACUACGUG